UCACCCGUAUCGCACGAUACAAGGUUAAAAUGAAAAGGGGCACGACAGCCCCUUUUUUGCGUCUUCUUUUUAAAACCUACGCUCCUCUCUCUUUCUUCUAUUGUUUCUAAACACUGCAAGAGACGUGGGAGGGAGAGAUUUUCUCCAUUUGCAUGAAGAUUUGCCGGUGAAGUCGCUUUAUUUCUUGUUGUGGGGAGUCUCGGGACGGUGGGAAGCUUGGAGAAAGGGUUUUUUGGUUUCUAACACCAAGAAGGUAAGAAAUAACUCAUUUUUGCCGUUGAAUCAUUCAUUUCUCUUAUUUCCUGCAUUUAUUUGUAUGUUUUUACUUGUUUUGUGAAGAUAUAAUGUCGGAUCCUGCAUGGCAGUGGUGUACAAGGGUGAAUCCUAAAGAUAGGUUAAGAGUUAAGUGCAAUUAUUGUAAGCAAAUCAUAUCAGGAGGGAUCUCUCGCUUUAAAAACCAUAUAGCUGGUACACACAGCGAUGUGGCUGCUUGCAAUGGCUCCCAAGAGAACCCAUUGCCAGCAUAUGUAAAGCACCAGUGUAUGGAGCUUCUUAAUGCAGUGAAAGCAAAUAGGAUUGAAAAAGAAAUGCAAGAUGCAGAGGAAGGAUAUGGGGACCCACAUGCACAGGAAGAAAGUGAAGGUGAAGACGUUGAGCUUGAAGAAGAACAUGUUGGUGUCAGUUUGGGAACAGCUAAAGGGAAAAACAUUAUGCAUACAGGUGGUUCUUCAACUGCAACCAAAAAAAGAAAAGGUGCAAGUGCAAGUACAGGUUUACGAGGACGUGGCAGGAGUGGGGGUCGUACUGGUGUUGGUAGAGUACCUACUAUGAAGUCAAGUAAUAUGUCUGAUUCGAUCAAGAAUUUUUUUCCCAAUUAUACUGCUGUUGGUGCUCAGCUUGAGAUUCGUACAGCCAUGUGUUCAAAAGAUAUUGUUGAAGCAGCAGAUGAAACCAUAGGAAGGUGGUUCUAUGACGCAUCCAUUCCUUUCAAUGCAGCAAACUCUUUUCAUUUUCAAGCUAUAGCAGAUGCGAUUAAUACUGUAGGUCGAGGGUAUAAAAUGCCCUCUUUUUAUAAAUUGCGAGGUAAAAUUCUCAACAAUGUAGUUAGAGAUGUCAAGGCAUAUUGUGAUGAAUUGAAAUUGAGCUGGAAAGCUAUAGGAUGCAGUGUAAUGGCAGAUGGGUGGACAGACAUCAAGAACAGAACAUUGGUAAACUUCCUUGUAUAUUGCCCCCUUGGUACUAUGUUCUUAAAAUCUGUUGAUUUGUUUGAUACUCCUAAGACUGCUGAUGUUUUGUUUGAGCUUUUUGAUAAAGUUAUACAAGAAGUUGGGCCUGAAAAUGUCGUGCAAUUUAUCACUGAUAAUGCAGCAAAUUAUAAAGCUGCAGGUGAAAUGUUAGCAGUACGAUAUAGGACAUUUUAUUGGAGUCCAUGUGCUGCUCACUGUGUAAAUCUUAUGCUUUCAGGAUCUUGGUGAAAGAGAUGAUAUGAAGUUGACAGUUCAAAGAUGCCAAGAAGUCACGAAGUUUAUUUAUAAUCAUGCUUAUGUCUUGAAUUUGAUGAGGAAAUUCACAAAUGGGGCUGAAUUGAUUCGACCUGCACAAACACGGUUUGCUACAAAUGUUUUGACUGUGCAGGGUAUAAUCAAGCAAAGGACUCCUCUCAGGCAGAUGUUUUCAAGUGAUGAUUGGGCUGCAUAUCCACAUGCCUAUAAAAGAAAGGCUAUGACAGUUGUGGAUACCAUCUUCGAUGCUGACUUUUGGGAAUCAUGUGUGCACUUAUUGAAGAUUUGUGUACCUCUAGUGAAAGUCCUCAGAUUAGUUGAUAGUGAAGAUAGGCCUUCUAUUGGAUAUUUAUACGAGUCUAUGGACAGAGCCAAGGAGGCCAUUAGAGAUAAUAUGAAGGAAAAAAAAGAAGUUGUACAUGCCUAUAUGGAAGAUUAUAGAUGAAAGAUGGUCUGGACAACUUCAUCGUCCACUUCAUGCAGCAGCCUACUACCUAAAUCCUGCUAUUAGAUAUCUUCCCACUUUUAAGAAGGACAGAGAGGUCGAGUAUGGCAUGUUGGAUUGUAUUGAAGUAUUAGUAAGUGAUUAUAAAGAACACGACGCUAUCCAUAUGUCGAUCAACAAAUAUGAUACCGCUUCUGGUAGCAUGGGGAGAGACACAACAAUUCGAUGCAGGUCAACUAUGCGUCCAGAUUUGUGGUGGGAAAGGUUUGUGCCUGAUUGCCCAGAAUUAAGGAAGCUUGCAAUUAGAAUCCUCAGCCAAACAUGUAGUGCAACUGGAUGUGAAAGAAAUUGGAGUGUAUUUCAGCACAUCCACAGUAAGAAGAGGAAUAGGUUGGAACAUAAAAGGUUGAAUGACCUUGUUUACGUUCGUUAUAAUAUGAAGUUGAGACAAAGGCAAUUAGAAACAAGAUCUACGAGGAAGCAUCACACUCAAUAUGAUCCUAUCAACAUUGACCAUUUUGAUAUAUUAGAUUCUUGGGUUGAAGAAGAACAAUCUGUAAUACUUGAUGACCUUGAGGACGAUCUUGAUUUUUUGAACCUUGAAGGAGUAGUAGAGAUUAUUGAAGGAGAGGCUGGAGAGCAAUGGAAUGUUGGUGACAUUCCAUUUCCAACAGAGGGGAUAGAAGAAAUUAAUGAAGAAAAUGAAGAUGAUCAUGAAGAUGAUGAUGGAAAUGACGAUUGACGAGGAUUGUUGUUGUCAAAACUUGAAUUGAAUGAAUCAUGAUUGAUAACUAUAUGUUUUCACUUUAGAACUUACGAAUUGUGAUGUAAUCGAAUUCUGUUCAGCUGCUUAUGUUAUUUUGAAUGUCUGAUUUCUUAUUUUGGAAUGUGUUGUUCAUAGUUCAUAGUUCAUAAUUCAUACUUCAUAGUUCAUACUUCAUAAUCAUAUACAUGAAUGAUGAAUGUUCCUUUAAAUACAUUUUUCUUGAUUUUUUCUGAUUUUUACUUGUUUUUUCAGAUUUUUUUUUGGAAUUUUUAUGAUUUUUAUGAUUUUUAAUAUUUUUUAAAAAUUAAAAAAUUAAUUUUACAAUACGUUUACGAUACGGCGUAUCGGUCGGCCCGACCGAUACGCGAUACGCUACGCCAGUGAUAACAUUGAUCAAUAGGGUGCGGGUUGGGUGCGAAUCUGGGUCGCACCCGCAUCGACGCGACGUGGGUGCGUCACCAGGGUUGCCGCACCCUGGUGACAUAGAUUGCAGAUUUGUGGCGUGAACAUGUCAUUUACUAAUUUGUUAUAGAAGACAAAAGAUUUGGUCUUUGUGGCCCUUACUAGUGCCGUUAUAAUAUUUGGAACAUAUGUACUGUUACUCUGGAUAUAUUGUGUUACUGUCGUUGUCAUAUAUUUUUGUUAUGUUAUUAUUAUUGUAUAUUUGUUUGCUGUUAUAUAUACUGUUGGAAUAUGUUACAUACAUAUAUUCUGUUUCUAUUGUAUAGUUACCAGUAUACGUAUUAUCUAUAUGCAUUUGAUGCUUGAAUAUUUUAACAUAGUUAUUGUAUAUUGUACGACUCUUUUUUUUUUAUGCUACUUGUUCUUACUUGCUUUUCUUGUCUAGUUCUUUUUGAUGGCCCAUUGCUUUGAUCCUGCUUAGCACUUUUGGCUGCAUAUACACACAAAAACUCGUGAAAAUGCACACAAGUUCACCUGGAUAUGUAGCAGUUGUGUAUAUUGCUUUAGUGUAAUUGCAAGCAUCGAGCUUCAUAUAGUAUAUGACCAGUAUGCCCACUUGAUAUCUUACUCUAU